UACGGAGGGGGUUAGCGUUGUUCGGAAUUACUGGGCGUAAAGCGCGCGUAGGCGGGCAUUUAAGUUAGAGGUGAAAUCCCAGGGCUCAACCUUGGAACUGCCUUUAAUACUGGGUGCCUUGAGUUCGAGAGAGGUGAGUGGAAUUCCGAGUGUAGAGGUGAAAUUCGUAGAUAUUCGGAGGAACACCAGUGGCGAAGGCGGCUCACUGGCUCGAUACUGACGCUGAGGUGCGAAAGCGUGGGGAGCAAACAGG
rnacentral:rRNA from 1 species